rnacentral:rRNA from 1 species
CCUACGGGAGGCAGCAGUGGGGAAUAUUGGGCAAUGGCCGGAAGGCUGAAGCAGCGAAGCCGCGUGAGGGAAGAAGGAUCUAGGGUUGGUAAACUUCGUUUAUAGGGGAAUAAAGGUAUCCACGUGAGGAUAUUUGCAUGUACCCUAUGAAUAAGCAUCGGCUAACUCCGUGCCAGCAGCCGCGGUAAUACGGAGGAUGCGAGCGUUAUCCGGAUUUAUUGGGUUUAAAGGGAGCGUAGGUUGUUUUUUAAGUCAGGGGUGAAAGUUUGUGGCUCAACCAUAAAACUGCCGUUGAAACUGGAAGACUUGAGUGUGUUAGAGGUAGGCGGAAUGCGUGGUGUAGCGGUGAAAUGCAUAGAUAUCACGCAGAACUCCGAUUGCGAAGGCAGCUUACUAAGCCAUAACUGACACUGAAGCACGAAAGCGUGGGGAUCAAACAGGAUUAGAUACCCGGGUAGUC